CGAACAGGAUUAGAUACCCUGGUAGUCCACGCCGUAAACGAUGCUAACUCGUUUUUGGAUUUUCGGAUUCAGAGACCAAGCGAAAGUGAUAAGUUAGCCACCUGGGGAGUACGUCCGCAAGGAUGAAACUCAAAGGAAUUGACGGGGGCCCGCACAAGCGGUGGAUUAUGUGGUUUAAUUCGAUGAUACGCGAGGAACCUUACCAAGACUUAAAUGGGAAUUGACAGGUUUAGAAAUAGACCCUUCUUCGGACAAUUUUCAAGGUGCUGCAUGGUUGUCGUCAGCUCGUGCCGUGAGGUGUUAGGUUAAGUCCUGCAACGAGCGCAACCCCUGUCACUAGUUGCCAUCAUUCAGUUGGGGACUCUAGUGAGACUGCCUACGCAAGUAGAGAGGAAGGUGGGGAUGACGUCAAAUCAUCACGGCCCUUACGUCUUGGGCCACACACGUAAUACAAUGGCCGGUACAGAGGGCAGCUACCAGGUGACUGGAUGCAAAUCUCGAAAGCCGGUCUCAGUUCGGAUUGGAGUCUGCAACUCGACUCUAUGAAGCUGGAAUCGCUAGUAAUCGCGCAUCAGCCAUGGCGCGGUGAAUACGUUCCCGGGCCUUGUACACACCGCCCGUCAAGCCAUGGAAGUUUGGGGUACCUGAAGUCGGUGACCGUAACAGGAGCUGCCUAGGGU
rnacentral:rRNA from 1 species